AUCCCAGAUUUCAGGAUAAAAUAAUAAUGACCUGUGCACAACCACUCUGACCUUGGUUAAUUAUUUAACUCUCUCAUCAUUGAAACACAGAUAAUAAUACCAGCUUCUUAGUGUAGUGUGUGUUAUGGGAACUGAUACUCUAACAUUUUUAUUACAGGCACAUAGAAAGAACUUAGUUAAUGCUAAUAGGAUGAUAUGGGCGAUAACACUUUCUGCUCAGGUCAGACCUGGAUAUAGAAGCAUCCUGUUUGAGAUAGGGGUCAUUCACCCAUGUGUGGUGUGUGGUAUAGGAAGCAUCUCAUCCUAGAGAGUCCUAAAUCAUUGACAAUACUGAAAUUUAAAAUAGCCAGAUAAAAGUGUCCCUGAAAGGUAAUUUCUCUGUAUUUUUCCCAGCCUUCACAGUUAGCAGACAUCUGGCAGCCUUUCAGUGUAACUCCUUACCAAUCUGGGGGAUUUUCCAUUUGGCUUGGCUACUUCAACUCUUCUUUUAUCCUAGGGUCAUCACCAGGGCUAUCACCAAGAAAGCCUUCUCACCCAGUCAUGGAUUUUUUUUCAGUUCAUGUCUUUUAGGUGACUCUUCUUCACCAGCAACCAAUUCUACCCAUACAGAUCCCCAUGAAAUAAUUGUAGGUGUUUGCUUUGUUUCUGAUGAAAACCUUCAGAAGAUGGAAAAGGUCCUCAAUCUUUGGAGUUCCGGUCUUAAGACAAACAUUAUAUCUGAACUAAGCAAAUGGAGACUUAAUUUUAUUGACUGGCACCAAAUGGAAAUGAAAAAAGAGAAGGAAAAACAUGCAGCACAUGUAAAGCAACUGUGCAGCCAGAUCAAUGACUUGAAGGAGCUGCAGAAAGCCUUUGAAAUUUCCAUUAGGAGAAAAGAUGAGGUGAUUUCCAGCUUGUCUCAUGCCAUCAGCAAACAAAAGGAAAGGAUAGAGUUGAUGCAAACAUUCUUCCACUGGCAGAUUGGCCAUGUCAAAUCCAGACAGAAUUUAUCUGGUGCUUUGGAAAAUGCAAAAGCCAAGAUUCAGAAAAUGCAAAAAGAGAAAGAACACUUUGAAGAUUCCAUGAAGAAAGCAUUCAUGAGGGGGUAUGUGCAUUAAAUCUAGAAGUCAUGACUAUAUUUCAGAACAGAAAUGAUGCAGGU
rnacentral:lncRNA from 1 species